rnacentral:rRNA from 1 species
UACGUAGGGUGCGAGCGUUAAUCGGAAUUACUGGGCGUAAAGCGUGCGCAGGCGGUUUUGUAAGCCAGAUGUGAAAUCCCCGGGCUUAACCUGGGAAUGGCAUUUGGGACUGCAAGGCUCGAGUGCGGCAGAGGAGACUGGAAUUCCUGGUGUAGCAGUGAAAUGCGUAGAGAUGUGGAGGAACACCGAUGGCGAAGGCAGCCCCCUGGGCUAACACUGACGCUCAUGCACGAAAGCGUGGGGAGCAAACAGG